rnacentral:rRNA from 1 species
CAGCCGCCGCGGUAAGACAGAGGAUGCAAGCGUUAUCCGGAAUUAUUGGGCGUAAAGGGCUCGCAGGCGGUUUCUUAAGUCUGAUGUGAAAGCCCCCGGCUCAACCGGGGAGGGUCAUUGGAAACUGGGAAACUUGAGUGCAGAAGAGGAGAGUGGAAUUCCACGUGUAGCGGUGAAAUGCGUAGAGAUGUGGAGGAACACCAGUGGCGAAGGCGACUCUCUGGUCUGUAACUGACGCUGAGGAGCGAAAGCGUGGGGAGCGAACAGGAUUAGAUACCCGCGUAGUCCCUGUCUCUUAUAC